UAGGGAAUCUUCCGCAAUGGGCGAAAGCCUGACGGAGCAACGCCGCGUGAGUGAUGAAGGUCUUCGGAUCGUAAGACUCUGUUAUUAGGGAAGAACAAAUGUGUAAGUAACUAUGCACGUCUUGACGGUACCUAAUCAGAAAGCCACGGCUAACUACGUGCCAGCAGCCGCGGUAAUACGUAGGUGGCAAGCGUUAUCCGGAAUUAUUGGGCGUAAAGCGCGCGUAGGCGGUUUUUUAAGUCUGAUGUGAAAGCCCACGGCUCAACCGUGGAGGGUCAUUGGAAACUGGAAAACUUGAGUGCAGAAGAGGAAAGUGGAAUUCCAUGUGUAGCGGUGAAAUGCGCAGAGAUAUGGAGGAACACCAGUGGCGAAGGCGACUUUCUGGUCUGUAACUGACGCUGAUGUGCGAAAGCGUGGGGAUCAAACAGG
rnacentral:rRNA from 1 species